CAAAACAAAAUGAAGACAUUGCUGACAGAAGAUUUGCAUGCGAAAUUCGUGCAACUAGAGAAGGAGAAAAGUCAAUAGACUCUGUUGAGUAUUGAGCACAGCUUGAAGAACCCCCUACGAUGGUAAGCUUGGAAGAAAAGGUGGAGAAACUUAAGAAACAGCUCAGUGAAAUGAGAUGGUCAAAUCAAAUCAUAAAAAACUCACCUGAGGAGAGUCAUCUACCUCAAAGACAAAACCAUUGAGAAGAUCCGGGAAUCUUUAAAAAUGGUUGAAAGAGUUAAAGAGAAGACAGCUCCAAAAGUGAUCAAUUUGAGAAGAACAUCAGAGUACACCAUGCAAGAACCCAGAGAGGGCAUAGAAUGGCCUGUCAUACCCUGGAAGCUGUCACUAAUGAUCUAUAUAUAGUAAACAGAGCACUUGAAGAAGCAGAAAAAUGAGAAAAACUGUGUGUGACUGUUUCCACCCUUAUAGCUCGUGGAUUUUAGAGAGUCUAUAAAGAAGAUGAGAGGCUUUAACAUUGAAAUUCCAG